rnacentral:lncRNA from 1 species
CUUUCUCAUGCUGUUCUCACGAUAGUGAAUAAGUCUCACAAGAUCUGAAGGUUAUAUAAAGAGAAGUUCCCUACACCACUUCUGUCUUUGCCUGCUGCCAUCCACGUGAUAUGUGACUUGCUGCUCCUUGCCUUCUGCCAUAAUUGUGAGGCCUCCUCAGCCACACGGAAAUGCUUAUAGGCAUAAGAGACUUGCCUUGUCUCAGAUGAAACUUUGGACUGUGGACUUUUGAGUUAAUGCUGAUAUUAGGACUCUGCUUACCCUUUGUGAAUAAGCCCAGUGAAUCUGCUGAGUGAUGAGAGAGAGAGUGGGCCAGUCACUUCAUUGCUCCAGGAUUUUCUGUUGAAUGACACUUCAUAAAAAAGACUUUGAUUGCUGAGUUACAAAGACAAUUGUAUCUUCUUGUAAAGCAUACAGUCUUGGUGGUCCUACCCCAUGAACUGGCUGUCCCAGGACGGUUUUACGGUGGUUAUGUUGAAGAUGUAAAUAUUCUCCCUGCUGUGAGUAUUACUGCAGCUGCCCAAAGAUGCUUUAUUUUAAAGAUGUGGAUACAGGAAGAUAAAAGCAUCAGAAACACUGCAUGGGAAAAUCAUUCAGACUGCAGCUUCCUGGUUUUAGACAUCCCCACUGGCAAUUGGGACAUCUAUUUUGGAGAUGUAAUUGAAAAGACUGAAGAAUGUACUGAGGACCUUCUGGCUGAUAGAAGCUGACAAAGAAGCCAAGAUUGGUGAAGAUUUCUGCAAUACCUGAGUUUCUAAUCACAACAACAAAAAUGACCUGGAUAGAAAACCUUGGAGAUAGUAAUUGAUGGGCAUCACGUAGCUGGUUGCUGGAGAAACACUGAAGCAGAACUUGUAAUAUCUUCAAAACAAGUGAAGGCCAGGAAUCAGAAAUGCUUCUGAAGGUCAGCUGCCUCUCCAGCCAUCUAUGAAGAGCUAUGGUUCUGAAUCCUGGCUAAUAUCAGAAUCAUCCUGGGAGCUUUUGAAAAUCCUGAUGCUCAAGUCACACUCCAUACUCAGACAAGAAGCUGAGUCUCAGAGAGAGAAAAUGACUCAUCCAAGCAAGGUUUGAGACCUAAGAAAGAAUCAACCUGAAUCAAAUAUAACUAUAGGAGGUGCCUUUUGGACAAUACAGAGGCCAUGCUCAAGGAACACAAAAGGAACUGAAGUUGUGUGGAUUACAAGAGAGUUCGAUGUGUUCUAAAUUCAUUAUGUAGGUAAUGAAUGGGAUCUCGUGAAAAGUGGAACUAAGCCUCUUUGGUAAAGCCUGAAGAGUGGAGUCAAAAGCAAUGAGUAGAAAUCAUUUUACCCAUGCCAUCCACCUACCUAUCUACCCAUACAGACACCCAACAAAUUGUAAAAGAAAAGUAGGCAAUCAGGAUAAUCAGUAGUUUAAUAUGAUUUGGGGGUUCAUUAAAGGCUUUCCUUUAGAAAUCACAUUUAAACUGAGACCUGAAGGAUGGCUUCUGUCGUUAGCCAGAUGAAAAGAGAAGAUAAGCAUUCCAAGCAGAGGGAACAGGAAAGGUGGAAACAAACUGGGCAUAUUCCAGGACGUGGAAGGAAGCAGUAGGUAGCUUAAGUAGCAUGAAGAACACUUACAGAAGAGUUUAGAAUGAAGCAGGAGCCAGACCAUGGAGGUAGGACAUGCUAGAGCAAAUCAAUUUUAGCUGAGUGUGAAUAAUACAGUUCUAUCAUACGGAUCUGCCCUAAAAUGGAUUUGGUUUCUGAUGACCAAGGUUGUGUAAGCAGAAGCUGGAAGACCCUUGAAAAGAGCAUUCAUUCAAGAAAUGAAGCAUGAGAUAGGAUGGAAGGAGGGAAGAAAGACAAGCAUAUGGCAUAUCAGGUCUCUUCCAGUGCUAAAGGCUGCCUAUGAUACUCAUCUGACCUGAUUUCUCCUGCACAGUGUUGCAACUGACGAGUAGCAGACUUGCCCUUGCCUGCAUUUGGGGGGAUGGCUGAGACUUUCCUUACAGAAAGCCCUACUUUCAGCAUGAACACUAACCCAGUUUAUUGGCUCAGGGUGUAGAGAGUUGCCUUGUCACUGGCGAAGUCAGAUGCAGCCAGUACCAGAGCUCUGCACUAGCUGUGAACACUAAGGAAGAAUAGCUGAGUGAGGAAGCAGAGUGCCAGGCAGCACAUCCUUCUUCAGGUGUUUCCUGCCCUGGGCCAGAUCCCAGGCACUGCAGCAAUAUCUCUGCAUGAUCUAGGGCUCCUGGAAAUAGCCCAUUAAGGGCAAAACUCGCUGCCCAGAAAACAUUAGAACAUUAAAAGAGCAGGGUCUCAUCUGAUUGUCUUGGUUUCCUGAGGCUCAUUCAGUCUGUGUCCACUGGUUUCAGUCUGAGUUCUCUGCACUUUGAGGAUGCAGACAGUGAAGUUCUCCCAUGGUUAUAGGGGGAGAGAUCAUAGGAAUGCUAUGGAAAGAGGCCUGAAGUCAGAGCCAGCUAGUGGUUAUUAUUUAUUAAUUGCCUGUGAGGUGCCAGGCGCACAUAUUAGACCAUAUGUGAUUGCAGUGAGCCACCCGGAUCCCCUUCAAGCUGCUGCUGCAGCUGAUGGAAGUCCUAUUGGCAGACAGCCUUCUCUCAUCAGCCCCUUCAGGACUUGCCUCAGUUGCAGAGAGCUGCCUUCCCCAAGAUCACACCCUUCCCUGGGGACUCACAACCAAUGGCUGAUCCAGAAGAAUCCAUAAAGCCCGUAUCAUUUCAGCCCAAUUUAGGACAGCUUUGUUGAGCCAUUAGACCUACAUGCAGCCCAACCUCUCCUUCUACCCACUUCUUCUUUCUUCCCUUUCCUUCCACGGUGUCUGUUCCAAGCACUUGCCUUAAUAAACAUGUAACAGGUUAAACUCUGUCUCGAUGUCUGCUUCAAGGAGAACCCAACCUGUGACAGUGAUAACAGAUAAAAACAAAGGACAUCACUUUUCCCUGCCUUACUUUCCAUUUACCACUAAAAAGGGUCUUGGACUUGCCCACUCAGUUUCUUCUCUUUCUUCACUCUUUGGAGAUGGUCCCUCCACUACCACAGACACAAAAAAGAAGAGUUGGGAAGAGAGAGGGGUGAAAACAUUUGGGGCACUGCAGGCCUAGUGCUAGGUGACUGAAGACUACCUGGAGGGUGCAGGAAGUGACUGUUUCUCCAUCAUGUAUUGUAUUGCUAUAGUGACUUAAAAAACAAGUAGGUGAUUUGUGUUUUUUUGGUUUUUUUUUGUUUUUUUGGUUUUUUUUUUGAGACAGAGUCUCGCUCUGUCACCCAGGCUGGAGUGCAGUGGCGCUAUCUUGGCUCACUGCAAGCUCCACCUCCUGGGUUCAC